GGGGGGCCGUGGCCAUGGCAACCCGGCCGGCCGCGGCGGCGCGGGCUCUCAAAGGCGGCCUUGUUCCCGGCGGGGGCCGUCCAGGCCCGGGCAGGGAGGGGCCGCGCGGAGGCCCGGCCUGCGGCGCAGGAAGUGCCGAUCCGCGGCCGCCUCCCUGCCCGCUCGUUUCCUGCAGGCCCGGGUUUCCAGAGCUCCUUCUGGAGAAUGAAGAGAAACCUCAGCAGGAGGAUGUGUUCAGGCGACAGAGAAUGUGUGUGUGUGUGUUUCUGUGUAUGUGUGUUUCUGUGUGUGUGUGUGUGUUUCUGUGUGUAACUGAGAGGAAGUAAGAAAGCUUGGGGGGGAAAAAUCACUAUCUUGCUGGCCUUGUAGAAUGGAAGAGUCUGGUGCCUUAGACAGAGUUUAGCAAGCUAGCCAGUGCCACCGGAGGCAGCUCUUUAAGACUCACUCACCCUUUUGGCAAUGAAUAUCAAAGGAGAAAAUAUCAGAGAAAAUACCAAGUCACUCAUUAGAUGUAACCUAACCACAUGGCAAUUUACAUCCUUAUGUAUUAGCUAGUGAAUUUUGGUGAGAACUCUGGUCUUGAGAGCUUGAAUAGCCUUUGCUGUUUUGGGGGGAAGCUUGGCCCCUGGGAUUUCCCACCCUUUGUUUAGUCUUCAGUGUUGAAAGUGAAAGUGUUAGUCCCUUAGCUGUAUAGGACUCUUUGUGACCGCUUGGACUGUAGCCCGCCAGGCUCUUCUGUCCAUGGAAUUCCGCAGGCAAGAAUACUGGAUGGCUUGCCAUUCCCUUCUCCAGGGCAUCUUCCCCACCCAGGGAUGGAAUCCUAGUCUCCUGCAUUGCCGGCAGAUUCCUUACCGACUGAGCCACCAGGGAAGCCCAAGUAUAAAAAUUGGGAAGGAUGGCAUGUUUGCUCUCUGAGCAGCUUGUGAGUGACGAAUGCAUUUCCACUUUGGGCUGCUAGGGGUUAGGAGCCAGAUCUUCUUCCUUGACACCUUAUCGCUGUUUGGCUUUCUCAGAAGAGGUGGCCUGCAGGGGUAGCCUCAGGUGUGGGGAGUUUGGGCGGCAGGACAUGAACUUGACUGCAUCCCGUCAACACUGGCCAGGCCACUGUCAAUCAGUUCUCCAGAUCCUCCUGGAGAACCCUUGAAGCAAGGUGUGGGGAAAGAUUCUUGCCUUUGGGUCUCAGAAAAAGGCUAGUUCUGGGCCUGAGUUUAAUUCUGAGUCAUGAUCAGCCCGAGGGAAACAGCACUGUCAGAAAGACUGGAUUUUCUACCAUUGUGGCCGUGCCUUGGCCUCAUACCUUCCAUUCUGGCCAAGAAAGGUGGAGAGGGGUCAAUAAUCUUGAGUACACGUAGGCGGGCACCCUGGCCAUUUAGCAAAGGGUCCUCACACCCAAGCGACAGCACGGAGGGGGGCUCCUUCAGAGGCUGGGCACUGAAACCAAAGUCAGGCGGCUGGACUCUCACUGGCCCCCGCCUCUGUCCCCUCCUCCUGGUGAAGCUUGGAAGAUGGUGUUAGUAGAUUAUUCUUGUCAUAUGCAGUUGAGUCUGGAGGAGAUGGUGCUACCUGCAGUGGCUUCUUCAUCUGGCGGGGGUGGAGAGGGCUCAAGAACUUUGCAGACUCUUCUGAUUAGCAUGAAAUAGGUGCUGCAUGGAGCAUUGUCUAGAGUUCCCGAAUGAGCUACCAGGGAAGCCCAAGUAUAAAGAUUGGGAAGGAUGGCAUGUUUGCUCUCUAAGCAGCUUGUGAGUGACAAAUGCAUUUCCACUUUGGGCUGCUGGGCAUGGGGGGGCGCGGGGGGAAUGCAGUUCAUGCUUCUGCAGAAAUUCCAUCUAGUGGAUGAACCAACCAGCACAUUAAAGGAACAUAAAGGGCCUGUAAAGUGAUAGACAUUCUUGUUUACUUGUAGAAUCUUAGACCAGAAUUAGAAUGUGUGUGAGGUGGGCCCAGGCGCGGGUGAGUCAGAAGCUCCCCAGGUGUUUCUUACGCACAGCCAGGGUUUCAGGCCAUCCUCCAGUGCAGUGUUGACAAACAGGGAUGGUUUUGUCCCCCUGGGAGACAUUGGCAGUGUCUGGAGAUGUUUUCGGCUGUCACAAGUACUGACAGGAGUGAGGGCAUCUUGUAGGGAAGUAGCACACAGCAGGGUUUGGAGGUAGGAGAAUGUGGUUUGGGUUUGCAAAGAAGAAAGCGGUUCGUGGUUUCAAGAGAGUCAGCUGAGAUCCGGAGUUGGUUUUUCAGCCUGAUUCUCCGCAGUGUGGGUUGUGUCUUGUCCAGGCACUUUUGGUUCAGACAUCAAGCCCCACUGGCUGUGUUUGCUGUGUGUGUCAGUAACCCUCAGGCCCUGUUAUGAGGGAGAUAAAGGAGCUGGUGUCAAGUACCAUCAGCCUCAAGGGCCCAGCCCCACCCUGGGGACUGCCUUUCCCCGAGUCCAUGCAUGAGGGAAAGCUGCUGUGCAGAAGCUCGGCUUCCUCCUGGCUCCAGGAACAGGCCCUUUGCCUGAGUUGAUGGAGUCAUGGCCCCAUUAGUCAUUUAUUCCCUGCCUCUUAGAAAAGGGUGAGUAAGUAGCCCUUGUCGAUCAGGCCCAUCGUGGGACCAGGCUCGUGGCAGUUGGUCCAAAUAUAUUUUUGAAUGAAAGAGUGAAUCCCUAAUGAGUGGGAGAUCCGAACCUUUUAUUGUGAAUUGCCCCGUUAAUAAGUACGCCUUGGGCCAUAAGUUAAAUUAGGAGAGACAGAGUGGUAAUAAGAAGGACAGUCCCUACAGUCAAGAAUUUCCAGGGAAUUGGACAGGUAACCUGAAGCAAGUGCAAACUUCCCAUUUCCCUCUGGAGUGGCCACUGAGGAGCCAUUUCUGCCCUCUGAGGGUGACCCAAAAGUGCAUGUGUGGUGAUCCUCCCAGGACGCCACUGUCCAAGAUCCAGCCACAGGUUGGGACAAGCAGAGCCAAGGCAGGAAGCACAGUUGUCUCUGUGUGUAUGUGUGUGUGUGAGCCUCUUUUGCUUAACGUGGUAUUCUUGAAAUUCAUCCAUGUUGCUGUAUGUAUAAAGUGCGUGUGUGUGUUCUCUUUUAUUGCUGACUAGUCGUCUUCCAUUGAAUUAAGAAUCCACAAUUUCUUUUUUUUUUUUUUUUAAGACAGGAAGAGCACCUCAAAGAGAAAUAGACUUCUCUGAAAAAGCCUGAAAUGCUCUUUUUCAGAAUCUAUGAAUUUAUGUGUUUGUUUAUGGGCUGUGCUAGGUCUUAGUUGCUGUGUAGGCUUUGCUCUGGUGGCUGUACAAGGGCUUCUCACUGCGGUGGCUUCGCUUGCUGUGGAGCCCUGGCUCUGCGGCGUGCGGGCUUCAGUAAUUGCAGCAGUCAGGCUCAGGAGUUGCCGUUUCCAGGCCCCAGAGCACAGGCUCAGUAGUUGUGGCCCACGGGCUUAGUCGCUCCUCGGAAUGAGGGAUCUUCCUGGUCCAGGGAUUGAAUGCAUGUCUCCUACAUCAGCAUGAGGAUUCUUUACCACCAAGCCACCAGGGAAGCCGCAGGAAGCACAGUUUAAUCAGAAUACCUCCUUUUCUCUGGUCUGGUUAUAGGUAGCAAAUGCUUCAGAGCUGCUUUUCUCUGCCUUUGAGGCCUUGUUUCUGCAACUCAGGAGAAAAGGGGCCUGGUGUCCCAGGCUUGGGCUAGGGUGGGGAAGGUGUGUUUCUGAGGUUGCCUAUGAUAGGAGCCUGGUCCCAUGCAGGCAUCCCGCCCUCUCACAGCCCAGGGGCUGUGCCUGUUCUUGGGCCAGUUGCUGGGUUCUGGCUGGCUUUGUCCAGUGGAGCUCCCGGUUCCACCUUAUCUGCUCCUGAGUGAUGUGCAGUUAGAACCUUGCUCCUUGAUGUCAGUUCCCCAGACCAGCAGUACCCAUGCCUCCUGGUUAGAAAUGGAGAGUCUUGGGCCCCGCUUGAACUGCCCGCAUCAGCCUGCAUUUUAACAAGAUGCCCAGGUGAUGUGUGGGCAUGUAAAAGCUUGAGGAGUGCCUGCUAGAAGCCUGUUCUGGAGGAGGCACCUGGGAGAGUGGCCUCUUUUGAGCAGCAUAGGUGCUGUGUUUGUAGAGGGCUUUAGGACAGUGUUUCUCAAACUCUGAGGUGAAGGACCAGUGGUUUAUUUCAUUCAUCUGGGGACGGGUAUGUGCCCCAGUGAGCACGACCAUCACAAGUCUGACAUGUCAGGGCUGGUCUGUACGCUUUCUCUAUUCCGAGAGACAAGUCUGCCGUCACACGCUCGAGUGUGUAACUAUCAAGUUUCUGGGACUUCUCUAAAGCCUUCUUUACUCUCUCUUCCUGUACUUAUCUCCCCAAGGACCUACAACUAACAGUUUGGUCUGCAGAUCUGCUUUAAGUGAUCUUGUUCUCGGGUCCCAUCUGCAGGGUCGGACAGACUUGAAUCCUGGUUCUGUUACUUCCUCGCUGUGUGUUCUUGGGCAGCUGUUUAACCUCUCUGAGUCUUAAUUUUGUCAUCUGUAAGUCAGAGAUAAUAGUGCCCAUGCCUCACAGGGUUGGAGUUAGGGAUAAAUGAGGAAGCGUGGGUGAAGCCUGGAGUGCAUACCUGGUAAUGUGCUGUGCUGUGCUUCGUCGCUCAGUCGUGUCUGACUCUUUGUGACCCCCGUGGACUGUAGCCCACCAGGCUCCUCUGUUCAUUGGGGAUUCUCCAGGCAAGAAUAUUGGAGUGGGUUGCCAUCUCUUCCUCAAGGGAAUGUUCCCAAACCAGAUAUUGAACCCAGGUCUCCCGCAUUGCAGGCAGAUUCUUUACCAUUCGAGCCACCAGGGAAGCCCGAGAAUACUGGAAUGGGUAGCCUAUCCUUUCUCCAGGGGAUCUUUCUGACCCAGGAAUUGAACCGAGGUCUCCUGCAGGCGGUUUCUUUACUAGCUGAGCUACCAGGGGAGCUCAUGCUUGAUAAUAUUGGCUGUCAGAUGUGGGCAACAGCACCAUUGUUAUUGGUUGCUGUCUUGGAGCAUCUGAAAAUGAGGACAGUGGCCCCAGUUAAGGGGUACCAUUAGUUUUUAAAAUAUUUAUUUAUUUUAUUUGGCUGUGCUGGGCUGUUAGUUAUGGUAUGCAGACUCUUUUUAGUUGCGGCAUGUGGGAUCUAGUUCCCAGCCCAAGGAUGGAACCUGGGCCCCCUGCAUCGGGAGUGUGGAGUCUUAGCCACUGGACCACCAGGAAAGUCCUUGGACACCAUUGUUUUUAUGAAUAGAUAGACAGUGGUCUUUGCAUAUGUAGCAAAUCCAUUUGGAACAGAAACUUUCUUCCCCCCUGUGAAUUUCUGAUAGUCUGGGACUGCUGGUAAAGUAUUUUCCGCUAUGUGAAUUCAAUCAAGAAUUGGGACAGUGCUGGAACUUGUUUUUCAGUGGCUGAAAGAAGUAAAAAAAAAAAAAAUGCUAGGUAGGAGAUCCCUUUGAUCCUCAGGGCUGGUCUGUUCGCCUUUCUCCUCCCCUACAGUGUGUCUCUUGGAUACUCUCUGCCAAGCAGGCCAAGGGGAUUUUUGGUGCGAAGUUGCCUAAUGCUCAACUGCCAGCACAUCCUCUACUUCUGGAGAAAUUCAGCUUUCCUCUUGGCUCUUUCAUUAGCAUGUAAGGAAGUGAAGUGAAAAAGCAGAGGACUCAAGUUAAAAGAUCUGUGUCCUGGGGUCAACUCAGCAAAUCAUCGAUUGGGGUAUCACCUCAUUGGCCCACAUUUGUUAACCUCUUUUUGGGUUCCAGACCCCUUUUAUAAUCUAAAGAGAACUUUGACACCCACCUUUACCCUGAAAAGUGCAUUCACACCCAAACACAUUAAACUGUGCAUUUUCUGUCCUUUGGGGUGGGGUGGGGGUAGGGGGGAUUCAUGGACCUCAUGGAAACCUCAAGGAUUCUUGACUAAGCAGCUCCACAAGGCUCGUUUCUCAUGAACUAGGGUUUCCCGGUGGCAAGUUUUGGAGUCGGAGUGCAGGAGUCUGAAUGAUUCCUCUGCUGCCUGCUGCCUUGUUGAGCUUGGCUGCUUCUGGAUGGAACGUCCUGCCGAGUCGCCCUGCCCCGCUUCACCCCGCUAGUCUGAGUGAAGCUGUCAAAAGAAUAAAAACAACAGCAACAACAAAAAACUGUAUCCCCUUAUGUGUGGGUGUGUUCAGUUGUUCAGUCAUGUCCAACUCUUUGUGACUCCAUGGACGGUAGCCUGCCACGCCCCUCUGUCCGUGGAAUUCUCCAGGUAAGAGUCCUGGAGUGGGUUGUCAUUUCCUACUUUAGGGGAUCUUCCCAACCCAGGGAUCGAACCCGAGUCUCUUACGUUUCCUGCAUUGUCAGGCCGCUGUGCCCCCUGGGAAGCCCCAUACACUUAAAAAUUCACAUAAGCAUUUUUUCCUCAUAAGUGUAAGUAGAGAGUAUUUCCUGGCUUAUUGUAUGUCAUAUUCUUCAAAUAUAUGUUCAUGAAAGCCUAGAAUGGCAAAUUCAGUUCACACGGUUGUGGAAAAUGUCUGCUGUAGCUCUUAAUUUGCAAGGCCAGAUCUUGCCGUUAGACGAAGAGCCAAAUCAUGCUUUGUGUUAGAAAAAGUCUGACUCCAUUGUUUGAUUCAAACGAAUGUGUUAAGCAAGCACCCCUGUGUCGGCUUCCUUGCUUCCUAAUUCUAAUCCUGGAAUACCCAGAUGGGUAUGCAUGGGAGAGUCGGUCUUGGUAAGAUGAGGCCAGCUCCCUUCUCAGUGUCCAUCCUCAGGAGACUCCUUCCAGGAGCGCUGCAUUCUUGAGUUGUCCCUCUGUCUGGUCAAAGUGCCAGGGCAAAGCCGGCAUGGCCUUUCUUUUGGGAAGUCUUGAGGAGGGCCACCUUGAAGGAGAACUGGUGGGCUCAGAUGGUUCCCAGUACAUCGAUACCAAAGGAUACCACGGGGAUGUGGAGGUUCUGGAAACUGAUUCCCUGAAGGCCUGCCAUGUCAGGGAGUUAAAUUUCCCAGAUGCACCUUGGUGGGCAGACCAUUGACCAGAUGCCUCCUGGAGAGGCUGCCCUGGGUUGUGGCUCUGUGAACAUUACAUUGCUCACUUCAAAGCCUGUGGCUCUUUGGGAAUCUUGAGCCCGAACCUCCCAGGGUCUCCCUGGUGACAACCCUGGCCCUUGCCCGGUGUUUCUUCCCAGGUCCUUGCAGUUAGCUAGCAGGGGCACCGAGGCUACAGUAGUGAGCAGCAGAGCGGUACACUGAAGCCUGGGCCUGCUGAGUGGCUUCAUGGCCCCAGAGCAGUCCACAUACCCCACCAGAAAAGCUGGGUGCCAUCCCAGGGGGGUGAUCACAAAGCAAACCAGCCUUGGGUGUGUCAGAACUGGUCCUCUGAGCUCGUCCCCUGCCUCAGGGCAACUCACUUGCAUUCUCUCCUCCUCGGCAUCUUUGUCUGUGAAACGGGCUGAUGCGGCAGGCAUUUAGCCUUCAGAGACCUUGAAGUUGGGCAGACCUUUGUUUUGAAUCCUGGCUUUGUCACUUAGUAGCUGUGUGACCAAGUUACAUGCUUCUGUGUGCCUGUCUCCACAUGGGUAAAUGGGCAAUGACAGUGUCUCUCUCAUGGGCUGGUUGAGGGGAUACAGGAGACGAUGGCUAGUGGGCACACUCAGGAAGUAGUCUUGCCGUGGUUACACUUGUUCCUUGUAGGAAUUAACCAAAAGACGGGGUGGCAUGAAGGCCUGGUUGAGACUCUCCGAGGGCAGGGCGCCCCUCCCUGGGAUGGCACCACACGCACAGAGGUGCUUCGCGGGUGUCACCUGAUAAAGGGCAGAGCGGGCCCUGCCAUCUGCUGAGCUCCCUGCUGGCCUCCUGCCUUCUUGCUCCCCUAGAGGAAAAGGCCACCCCUGAUUGCUUGCUGCUUUCCCUGCAGCCUGAGGGCCCUGGGGUCCACCCUGUGGGAACCUGUUGGAAGCCUUGCUGCCUGGUCUCCCCGACUGGGCCCUUUCUGGGGGAUGGGCUGCAGGCUCUCAAGCCUUCUGUCUGAAAGCUGCCUUGGUUGGAUUUCCCGAGGGCCUCUCCCAGCAAAUGUUUUAGAAGCAGAGUCGACUCCAUCCCCUGUGCCUUCCCCGCAGGAAUUUUGUCAUCUUGUCUAAACCGACUUUCAGCUGGAGCUCAGUCUCUCCUCCUCCGCCCCAGAGGAGUAAAUAAAGGAACAAAGCAGUGCUCCUGUGCACCUUGGGAUCUGCCCCUUGCAAGGAAUCUCUUUGUCAAGCAAAGAAUCCUUUUGUAAAGUGAAUAAUGACUCCCUUUGGACUCCGGUUGGGAUUUUUUUUGUUGUUGUUCAGGGUCUUUCUCAAGAGUGGGGGCCAGGCUAAUUUGUAGGCUUGGGGGCGGGCGGAGUGGGGUGGCGGCAGGCCACCGCGUCCCUCGCAGCAGCUGAAAGCGCGCUCGGUUUGGCUGCUGAUCUUCUGAUCACCCUUCUUUCUUCCAGUGUCUUCCUGUCAGGGCUCUGGCCCACCGACAUCGAUCACGCAGGCCCGGAAGGUGGUGGCGGUUUGUGUUUCUUGCUCUGUUUUGUUCCUUUGCUUCACUGAUCUCGUCUCCAUGGAAACAGGCGCAGCCUUUGUGUUCCUUUUGCUUUGGGCAAAUCGAUGCCAACUGGGGAUUUUUCUUUGCUCUCCACCUUCUUUGGGAUCAAAGGGAAAGGUGGGGGCCAGGCAGGAGGACCUGCUGAGGCCUGGAGCUCCUGGAGUGGGGGGCUCCUCCCCCAGGGACCAUGGGGUCAGUCCUCCGGUCGGGGACCCCUGCCUGGCCUGACCCGUGUGGGGGUGCUGUGCCGCGAGUGUCGUGAGGUCCCGGGUAGAGCACGUGCGCUGCGGUUCAUGGACACUCAGCACCCCCACCCCCCGGUCCCCCUCGACUCAGAGGUGGCUACUGGCCACUGGGAACAGGAGGCUGGUGGGAAAGCCGCUCCUGCUGGCAGGAACUUUGGGCGAGGCCUUUAACCUUUCCAGGGCUGGGUUUCUCGCAAGAGGGUGGAGAGGUUUUGAACCCCUUUGGUCCUGGGACCCCUUAAGGAAGCCCCACAUCUGGGUAAACUGCAAAAUCACUGUCAUAUGAUUGUUCGAUGGCGAAUAGUAAAUUCUGUGUUUGAUUCGAACCAGUAGGUUGUGUAGUUUGACAUGAAACUUCAGAAUCAGGAACCUCUCUAGACUAGACUGAACAUCCCGUGUGUGAUCCAGGCCCCCCCGCCCCCCACCAGAGUGUCCUGCGUUCCCGGACUGAUCAUGACCUACUAGAGGAGACUUCUGUUCCAGGCCAAGGCAAAAGCGUUGGCCUGAGCAACCAGGGAACAACAGAUCGGCCCUGUGUCCUCGGAGACCUCCUGGUGGGCGUGCCCACACAGGACGGGCUUCCUGGGCGGGUUGCCUACCACUCUCCCUUGGUCGUCUCGGUCACUGCUGGCUUGACCAACUAUGUUAUUCAUCAGGCGAAACAGGAGGCUUCUAUCAGUCAGUACCACACUCGUGCCAACUUUAUAGUCACUGACUAAAACCGCCGACUCCACACUUCAUUUCAGUAUCAGGACUCUCUACCCCAUCUGUUUGUCAAAUUUGGCAAAGGGUAUUUUGAAGAAAGUGUUUAAUUAUUUGGCUGUGCCGAGUCCUAGUUGCGGCAUGCGAGCUCUUCGUUGUGUGUAGCACGUGGGGUCUAAUUCUCUGACCAGGGAUCAAACCCUGAGCCCCUUGCAUUGGGAGCCUGGAGUCUCCACCACUGGGUCACCAGGGAAGUCCCACAAAGGAUGAGUUUAACCUCAGAUUUACGUUGUCCAAGAGCCUCCCUUGAGACUGAAGCUAGAGCCAAGUUGUCUGAGGAGACCUCCGAGUAUGUCAGUGGCCUCGUGGUGACGGAGGCCAGGCGGUCCGGUCUCCUGCCUGCAGAAAGGCGCUUGCUGGAGCGAAACACCAUUCAGGGGUCCCUCCCAGGAAGUGUUCUCUCUGACCCCUCUUUACAGUCAAGCAAGUUUCUUCUGGAGUCUAAGUCCCAUUUUAUUUGUUCUGUCUUGAAGAAAGAGAACAAAGACCAAGUAUCCUUGCCACUUUGCCCAGAGACCCUUACGUUCCCACUCAGCCUCGGCCAAACACCCCAAUCUGGCAGGGUUGCCUCCUCGCUCUCACGCGUUCCGGCAGAACAGGGCCUGAGUGUCCUGUUGGUUAGACAAGGAGAAUGACAACCGCCUCACUGGGUGGAUGUGAAAAUUAAAUCCUGCGGGGACCCACUUCUGCAAGUGCCUGGCGUACGGUUCAUUUUCAGUCACUCUGGUUGAUUCUAAUACAUUUUCUUUCCUGCCUACCUUAUUUGGGGCGGCGGGGGUGCUGUGCCCGAAGCAUGUGGGUGGAUCUUAGUUUCUUGACCAGGGGUUGAACCUGAGCCCCCGGCAGUUGAAGCAGCCUUAACUGCUGGACCGCCAGGGAAGUCCUUUCCUGCCCACUUUGAAGCCCCCCGGAGUUCCUGCUCUUCUCCACAGCUUCCCCUGAGUGAAGCCCCCUGGGCCGCUGAGCCAUCUUCCCAACUAGCCUGUCUCUGGGCCUAGAGGGGCCAGGUGGGGCAGGUACACAGAGGCCCUGGGUGGCAUUGGGCUUGUUCCUGGUCUGGGCCUUCUAGAGCUCCCAGCUGGGAACGCUGACUCCCAGACUCUCCCAGAGGCUGCAGAAGGGUCCCCGGCACCUCACUGAGAGACCUUCCACAUGAACUGCCUCUGCUUCCUUGGACGGCAGCCUCAACUGUGCUUUGUCCAAACGGUGAUGUGUGGAGUUGCCGUGAACCCCUACACCCAGGAGCAAGGACUGCAGAGGGAGCUUUUAUUUUUUUUUUUCCGGAUUUUACUCCAUCUUUCCUUUGAACCAUCGGUAUCGUGGCAGAGGGUUGAGAGGAGGAGCCAUACUGCCUGGGUUCUGACCCAACUCUGCCACUGUGGGCACCCUUCCUCCCUGUGUCUUAGGUUUCUCCGUGGCAAUAGGCAGUGCUUAAGAAAAUAUUUGCUUUAAUUUGCCGAGUGCUUUGAAAAAUUUUCCAUUGUUUGACUUUGAAUUUCCUCCCCUCCGUUUCUCCCAAUCUGCAUAAAUAUACAGGCAGACCUCAGAGAUGUAGGUUCACUUCCAGACCGCCACGGUAAAGUGCAUAUUGCGGCAGAGUGAGCCACACGCGUGUUUUGGUUUCCCAAUACAUAUAAAAAUUAUGUUUACAUUACACUGUGGUCUAUUAAGUGCAUAAUAGCAUGAUGUCUUUUAAAAAAAAACAAUGUGUAUGCCUUAAUUAAAAAGUAUUUUAGUGCAGAAAAAAAUGCUAACCGUCAUGUGAGCAUUCAGCCAGAAUAGUAACAUCAAAAGUCACUGAUCACCAUCACGAAUACAAUAAUAACGGAGAAGCUUGAAAUAUGGUGAGAAUUACCAAAAUGUGACACAGAGACACAAAAUGAACAAAUGCUGUUGGAGAAAUGGUGCUAAUAGAUUGCUCAUUGUAGGGUUGCCACAACCUUUAAUUUGUAAAAAAAAGAAAACAAAAAAAAAAACCCUCAGUAUCUGUGAAGUGAAAAAGUGAAGGGCAGUGCAGUGAGGGUUGCCUGUGCACAUUGCUGCCUGUUUUAUGCUGCGCACUGAACUAGGUAUUGGGGGCAGAGAGCUGAAUAAGACCAAGAGAAGCCUGCUCUGGUAUGGCCACCAAUGGCACGGUGAAAGUGAAAGUGAAAGGUUAGUCACUCAGUCGUGUCUGACUCUCUGCAACCCCAUGGACUAUACCCCUCCAGGCUCCUCUGUCCAGGCAAGAAUACUGGAGUGGCUUGCCAUUCCUUUCUCCAGGGGAUCUUCCCAACCCAGGGAUCAAAGCCGGGUCUCGUGCAUUGCAGAAAGAUGCUUUACCAUCUGAAUCACCAAGGCCCUAGUGCGCCCAUUGGUGACUGUGAUGUGUAACUAGUGCUGCCGUCUUAAUGGUGCAGUGAGAACCUAACUGGCCCAGGCCAUGUGGGAGUGAGCCAAGGAGUGCAUCCGGGAAGGCUUCCUGGAGAAGGAGGUCUGUGUUCUGAAUCCUGAAAUUGCACUUGAGCAGGGUGGGUCUGUUAGGGCCGAGGCGUUAAGUGCGUGGGACUAGGGAAGUGUGCUGGGACAGUGUGGUGGCCGGAUGAAGGGUCACCCCAGCACUCGGCUGAAACAGCAGGUGCCUAAGGGCCGGUCAGCCUGCAGAAGGAGGGGUUGUCUGCUCUCCAGAAGCAGACCUCUAGAGUGGGGAGCAGAAAGGAAGGGCGCUUCACUUGUGACGGUCCUUCUUGGUGCCCGCUGGGCUCCGGGCUCCCUUGGGGUUUGCUCUGGGGCCGAGGCCCCUCCCCUCCUCCUCUUUUAGAGAACGAUUUAUCCCCACCUCUGAGCUCAUGUCUCCUAACUAUGAGUGGUUCAGAAUACCUCAGGCCUCUCUGACUUGCUGGGGGUUUGGUGGACGAGGAUUGUGUGCCGCUAGUCAGUAGAGCUCCCGAGACCUCUGCCUUUGAGAAGCUCCCCGAGAUUCUGCUGCACCCUCCACCUGAGAAUCCAGCGCCGUGGACGCCUGAGUGCAUCCGGGGCUCCCUGCCCCGAGGCAUCCAUGAUGGGUGGUCCCUGCCCGACCUCCUUGCACAUCCUCUUGCUUUUACAGACUGGCAUUGUUACUGUUUGUUUUCAUCUCUCCUUUUAUUUUUCCGACAGGGAUGUCUAGCAUCUUGCUUUUUGGCUUUGCUACUUAAAAAAAUCGUCUUGAUAGUAGUAGUGUUAGUCGCUCAGUCAUGUCCGACUCUUUGUGAUCCCAUGGACUGUAGCCUGCCAGACUCCUCUGUCCAUGGGGAUUCUUCAGGCAAGAAGACUGGAGCGGGUUGCCAUUCCCUUCUCCCCUGGGUCUCCUGUGCAGCCGGCAGAUUCUUUACCGUUUGAGCUACAGCUCUGCUACUGCUAAGUCACUUCAGUCGUGUCCGACUCUGUGCAACCCCAUAGACAGCAGCCCACCAGGCUCCCCCGUCCCUGGGAUUCUCCAGGCAAGAACACUGGAGAGGGUUGCCAUUGCCUUCUCCAAUGCAUGAAUGUGAAAAGUGAAAGUGAAGUCGCUCAGUCGUGUCCAACUCUUUGCGAGCCCAUGGACUGUAGCCCACCAGGCUCCUCCGUCCAUGGGAUUUUUCAGGCAAGAGUACUGGAGCUACAGAGAAGACUCAAAACAAUUUUUUUUCCUUAAGGUUAUUUAAUUUCUUUACUUAAUUAAAAUAUUUACUUAGUUACUUGGCUGUGCUCGAUCUUAGUUGUGGCAUGCAGGGUCUUUAGUUGCAGCAUGUAAGACCUAGUUCCCUGACCAGGGAUCAAACCCGGCCCCUCUGGUUAAAGAGGUGUUAUUAGUUAGUGAAACUGGGGCACAAAGAAGGAAACGUUGUCCAAGGUUAUGGAGAAGCCGGAGCCUGCCCUACAGUCCACGGUGUCUUUAGCCUGCAUGUGUCCCCCUGGGUAGAGGGCCUCAGGGCACAGUGCCCAGGUGUUUGCAGCAACAGGCUGGGGGCCUGCUCCUCAGGCACUUACUGCCUCAGACGCUGCAGGGUGUUCUUGCCUCCCUCCAGAGGGGCUCAGGCUGGCACAGUCACGGCCGUUGUUCCCAGUUGCUCUGACUGCCUGCCUGGACAUCUGUUCUCCUAACAAUAUCUGCCAUAAAUCCUCGCCCUGACUCCAGGGCGGCUUAGCCGGGGGACAACGGAGCCUGUGACGGGCGGCCAAGCCUGCCCCAUGGCUGCACAAGGGCGCAUCCUCAACUGUGUGUUUCCUGGCAGCAGCAACACCUGCCUCUCCGGCCGAGGUGGUCUGCGCAGCGGUCUCCGGGGCUGCAGUUGGAAAGGCUCCUCACAGAGCUCUUUCUGUUCUAACUCACACUGUUGUAAUUCUUGGCCUUUGUGAAGAAAAGCUAUUUUUUAAAAAAAAUCUCGUGUAUCCUGGUGUACAGUAGGUCCUCACUUGGUCUGUUUUGCCUGACAGUGAAUGAAUGAGGGGAUAAUUAGCAGCCUGUGCGCGAAGGUCACUGGGGUGCCUGUGAUGAAACAGACCCCGUUCCCCUGGCACAUGCAGAACGCCCUCCGGGCGGCACAGGACCCUGGGACGUCCCUCCCCGAGUCUGCCCGGAGGAGCUGGUCUGAUGGAGGGAGACAGCAAGUGAUGAAGUGCCACCUUGCCCGUCGUUACAGCCACUUGGUGCUCUCUCCUCUUCCAGAGGGCUCUGAGCGGUAGGGCUGACCUGGAAGAGCAGGGAGGGAUCAGUAUCGGCUGAAGUUUCCAGAGACCGCCUCCUGGCAAAGAGGACCCUGAGCCGGGUCUUGAAAGCUGGACAGGCCUUGUCUGUGAGGACAGAGGAGAGGUGCAGAUGGCUGCUCUGCAGUCCCUGAGGCAGUCGUGUUGGGGGUGAAACCCAGUGUGUGCUGACAAGCCCUGCAAGUGACCCCGAUGCUCACCGAGUGUGGUGACAGCUGAUGCAGGAAAAAAGAGAGACCGAGGAGCUGGGAGGUGACCUGGCGUGUUUUAGAUGAGUUCUUCUGUAGGCGGCACAGAGAGAGGACAGAAAGGAGAUGGGCAGGGAAGCCAGGAGGCAUCAAGGGAGGCAGACUUGGGAUGCUCAGGGUCCCAGCUGGGUUGAUGGUGGCUGUGGGCGCAGAGAGCAGAGCCAGGUGGUCCUGUGAAGGGAGAGUGACACAGUUGAUCGCAUGCCACACUUUCAGAGCACUCUUUUCUUUAAGAUGUUUCAAGGUGGUCUGUGUCCUAGCACGUUGUUAUAUGCUAAUUAUGGAAAUGUAAGAAAGAAACAGAGACAUUACUUUGCCGACUAAGGUCCAUCUAGUCAAAGCUAUGGUUUUUCCAGGGGUCAUGUAUGGAUGUGAGAGUUGGCCCAUAAAGAAGGCUGAGCACUGACGAAUUGAUGCUUUCGAACUGUAGUGUUGGAGAAGACUCUUGAGAGUCCCUUGGACUGUAAGGAGAUCAACCAGUCCUUCCUAAAGGAGAUCAGUCCUGGGUGUUCUUUGGAAGGACUGAUGUUGAAGCUGAAACUCCAAUACUUUGGCCACCUGAUGCGAAGAACUGACUCAUCGGAAAAGACCCUGAUGCUGGGAAAGAUUGAAGGCGGGAGGAGAAGGGGAUGACAGAGGAUGAGAUGGCUGGAUGGCAUCACCGACUCAAGAGUCACGAGUUUGGGUGAACUCCGGGAGUUGGUGAUGGACAGGGAGGCCUGGGGUGCUGUGGUCCAUGGGGUCACAAAGAGUCGGACACGACUGAGCAACUGGACUAAACUGAACUGAAGAAAGAAUUGGGGUGCACAGAAUUCCACUACCACCCAGGACGACUAUUGAUACAUGGGCAUAUUUCCUCUGCUCCUUUUUCCUACACAUCUUGCCUUUACGUAGCUGAAAGCGUACCCUGUGUAUCAGCUUGCAUCCUGCAUCCUUUGUUUAACAAAGUAUCAUCAGCGUUUCCUGACGUUCUCUGAGGCUGUCUCUCUUUAUUGUGAGAGGAGGGCCAGAAGAUGAGCAGGGCGGUGCUGGUAAGGAAGCAGUAACUCUGGCUCAGGGAGAAAAGGAAGCUUGCUCCAUGAACUUCAGAUAGUGGGGAAGUCUGCAGUUAUGCAGCCUGGGUUCGUCAACUCAUAAAUUACAGGGAUGAAGGGGAAACCUGUAGAUUAAAAUAGACAUUAAAGACGACGAGCAGGACUUAAGUAUAGUGUCCAGGCAUGUGCUUUUGAGGGUCAAGAAAUGCAAGAGGGCGAUUACCACACAAGCAGCUUGUAGUCCGCAGAGAGGGCGUUGGAGCGGCUGGCAGAGUUUCGUUUCUUGACAUGAGUGGUUGUAAGGUGUUUGUCUUGUGCUACUUCAUCAGACUGACAUGCAUUCCGUUCAGUUCUCUGUAUCUGAUUGUUUUUUUCGGCUGUGCUGGGUCUCCAGCGCUGCACGGGCUUCCUCUAGCUGCGGUGAGCAGGGGCUGCUCUUGGCCGCGGUGUGCGACUUCUGGUCAUGGUGGCUUGGCUCAUCACCGAGCAGGGGCUCGAGGCCACGCAGGCUUCAGUAGCUGUGGCACAGGGCUUAAGCUGCCCUGCAGCGUGUGGGAUCCUGCCUGACCAGGGGUUGAGCCCAUGUCCCCUGCAUGGGCAGACAGACUUCUAACCACCGGACCACCAGGAAAGUCCUCUGUUUUAUCGUUCUAUAUUUUCUUAAAGGUUGAAAGGAAAGAGGAACUUGCUCAAGAAUCCGUGUGGCAGAGCUCGUUCCAGAACCCCUGUUCACAGGUCCUCCCUUGGGCCGCAUGUCCCGCUGCUCCCACCCUGCGGGGGCUGCCUUCUUACCCCCUCCCAGCCCCAGCCCCCCAUCUGCAGCUUGCAGGAAAACCUGCAGAUUCACAGCUCAUUUUGUUUGACUUCCGGGGCCAAAGCUGAAAUAGCCUUGGGAAAGAAUGGUGAUUCCCCUUUGACUCAAAUGGGGACAUUAUUGAGGAGAUUGGUUAGUCAGAAGUGAAGACAUCUCAGCCGUUUUCCAUCGCCAUGUGCAAGGGUGGGAGAUGCCUGGACCUCUUUCUCUCUCUCUCGUUAGUGCAGAGAGACAGGCUCUAGCCCCCAGGUUCUGUGUUUUCAGAAUCCCUUUCUGUUCAUUUCCUUGGCCUCGCCCUUUGGGUUCCUGGAAAGGAUGGUUUUUCCUUUUAAUGAGCACCAUCCCUCCCUCUCCCCUUGCCACACACAUACCCCCUGCCUCAGUUCAGUUCAGUCGCUCAGUCGUGUCCGACUCUUUGUGACCCCAUGGACCGCAGCACGCCAGGCCUCCCUGUCCAUCACCAACUCCCGGAGCUUGCUCAAACUCAUGUCCAUUGAGUCGGUGAUGCCAUCCAACCAUCUCAUCUUCUGUCACCCCCUUCUCCUCCUGCCUUCAAUCUUUCCCAGCAUCAGGGUCUUUUCCAAUGAGUCAACUCUUUGCACGAGGUGGCCACAGUUUUGGAGUUUCAGCUUCAGCAUCAGUCCUUCCAAUGAACACCCAGGACUGAUUUCC
ensembl:lncRNA